UAGGGAAUCUUCGGCAAUGGACGAAAGUCUGACCGAGCAACGCCGCGUGAGUGAAGAAGGUUUUCGGAUCGUAAAACUCUGUUGUUAGAGAAGAACAAGGACGUUAGUAACUGAACGUCCCCUGACGGUAUCUAACCAGAAAGCCACGGCUAACUACGUGCCAGCAGCCGCGGUAAUACGUAGGUGGCAAGCGUUGUCCGGAUUUAUUGGGAGUAAAGCGAGCGCAGGCGGUUUCUUAAGUCUGAUGUGAAAGCCCCCGGCUCAACCGGGGAGGGUCAUUGGAAAGUGGGAGAGUUGAGUGCAGAAGAAGAGAGUGGAAUUCCAUGUGUAGCGGUGAAAGGCGUAGGUAUAUGGAGGAACACCAGUGGCGAAGGCGGCUCGCUGGUCUGUAACUGACGCUGAGGCUCGAAAGCGUGGGGAGCAAACAGG
rnacentral:rRNA from 1 species